rnacentral:tRNA from 1 species
UAGAUUAGAAGGCUUUUAUCCUACAAACUUUUAGUUAACAGCUAAACGCUAAAAUCAACAAGCUUUAAUCUA